CCUACGGGAGGCAGCAGUGAGGGAUAUUGGUCAAUGGAGGCAACUCUGAACCAGCCAAGUCGCGUGAAGGAUGACGGCCCUACGGGUUGUAAACUUCUUUUGUAAGGGAAUAAAGUGUAGUACGUGUACUAUUUUGCAUGUACCUUACGAAUAAGGAUCGGCUAACCCCGUGCCAGCAGCCGCGGUAAUA
rnacentral:rRNA from 1 species